rnacentral:sRNA from 1 species
ACAUAAUAGCUAAACUUCAUACCAAUAGCUUAAUUUUUUUUCACCUCUGACAGGCAACCAAAACUUAUGGGAGAAACAAAAUUAUGACCAAACUCUUGGACCAAAUGAAUUUUUACAUUCUUCCUGUGUUCAAUGUUGAUGGAUAUAUUUGGUCAUGGACAAAGAACCGCAUGUGGAGAAAAAAUCGUUCCAAGAACCAAAACUCCAAAUGCAUCGGCACUGACCUCAACAGGAAUUUUAAUGCUUCAUGGAACUCCAUUCCUAACACCAAUGACCCAUGUGCAGAUAACUAUCGGGGUUCUGCACCAGAGUCCGAGAAAGAGACGAAAGCUGUCACUAAUUUCAUUAGAAGCCACCUGAAUGAAAUCAAGGUUUACAUCACCUUCCAUUCCUACUCCCAGAUGCUAUUGUUUCCCUAUGGAUAUACAUCAAAACUGCCACCUAACCAUGAGGACUUGGCCAAAGUUGCAAAGAUUGGCACUGAUGUUCUAUCAACUCGAUAUGAAACCCGCUACAUCUAUGGCCCAAUAGAAUCAACAAUUUACC